AUUGAACGCUGGCGGCAUGCCUUACACAUGCGAGUCGAACGGCAGCACGGGUGCUUGCCCCUGGUGGCGAGUGGCGAACGGGUGAGUAAUACAUCGGAACAUGUCCUGUAGUGGGGGAUAGCCCGGCGAAAGCCGGAUUAAUACCGCAUACGAUCUACGGAUGAAAGCGGGGGACCUUCGGGCCUCGCGCUAUAGGGUUGGCCGAUGGCUGAUUAGCUAGUUGGUGGGGUAAAGGCCUACCAAGGCGACGAUCAGUAGCUGGUCUGAGAGGACGACAAGCCACACUGGGACUGAGACACGGCCCAGACUCCUACGGGAGGCAGCAGUGGGGAAUUUUGGACAAUGGGCGAAAGCCUGAUCCAGCAAUGCCGCGUGUGUGAAGAAGGCCUUCGGGUUGUAAAGCACUUUUGUCCGGAAAGAAAUCCUUGGCCCUAAUACGGUCGGGGGAUGACGGUACCGGAAGAAUAAGCACCGGCUAACUACGUG
rnacentral:rRNA from 1 species